AUCAACCUUAUUGUUUCGGGACGCUUUUCUCCGCAAGCUUUUGUUAAAAAAAUUUUGUUUGACGCGUACUUGUGUGUUAUUAUAUUUGUUUAUUUAUUUAUUUGCAGAUCAUCACCAAACAACACCGACAAUCUUCUCUGUCUUUUUAACUCCUGUUAUUUAAUUGCAAGAUGCUGCGUAUCUUUUCUAAAAUCUUAGACCAUACCAGAUUGCCAAAAAUCACACCAUUGGGUAAUAGGUAUACCCGUAUUUUUAUUUUAUUUUUCAUCCCUCUCUUUCUCUGCUAUGAACAAAACAACAACGACCUUUAACGAAUUCUCAUGUUCCUUCUUCAUCACUAGCACCAGAUUCGACUACCGUUUUUUUUCUCACAACCUCCACAAAAGGUCUACUAUUAGCCAUGAUAGCUUCUACAAUGGGUAAGUCGGGUUCCGCUACAAUCAUUUCAUUACACUCUGGUCAGGAGGAGAAAAGGAAAUGCAGCAACCAGAGGGGAAAUGGGGCAAAAAACCGAAUCAAACGGUUUGAUAUACAUAUGAAUCGGGGGUCAACUCAAUUGCCUACGGAGAGGCAUACAACCAAAAAUCAAAGUAAGUACAUUGGAGAAUAUCCCAAGCUCCGCAUAUCAUUCCCUAAGUUCUUUUCCCGUUGAAUUUCCAUUAUUCCACAACCGUUGUGGAAGUGCCUGAAAGGCGAAAAUUAUCCUGUAAAAUUUGGUGCAGUUAGCUGCAGACUCAUAGGUGACCACAUACGUCCUAAUGGUUGCAUCAUACUGUACGUGUCUGUAGUAAUGAUUGGUGGCCUGUCGGCACAUUCAACUUAAUUUUAUAGUUUCAUAAACAAUUAGUUUUAGAAUGGCAGUGAUGGUAGUAUUCGAUGUAUCGAAUUUUGCAUCCGUUGAUCAGUACCAUAAGGAGAAGUCUGUUGCAGAAGUUGCAGAGAUAGGCGUUCAAGUUUGAGUUGAGAAAUGGAAUUUUUGUCUAGACACGAAAAAAUAUGUCUGGUGUAAAAGGAAAAUAAGAAGCAACAUAAAUCGAGCGAAACAACUCUGCCUUUCAGAGCCGUAAAAGAAGGUGGUUCAUCCUAUACAAAUUUGACAGCUUUAGUUGAUGUGCAUGAAAACAUCGACCUAAAUGAUUAAGAGUAUUAUAAAAUCAUGUAACAGUUAUUUUCGAUGUACUUUUUAUAGAUGAAACAGAUCAUGAAUCUACAUGAAACUUGCUAGAA